AAGUUAUAUAAAGCGGUAGCGCAUCAUAAUCAGGCCACAGAAUGGGUUAUACAGAAGCCCGAUUUCUUGGUUUUUCCUAUGAUUUCCCAAUGAUUUUGGCGUUGACCGUAAUUCGUCAUCAAAAUGCUGACGCCAUAUGGUCCUGGCUGGUGCGCUUUUGGGAGGCAUUCGACUCUCUGAUAAUACUCAAAAUGACCGACGUCCAGGGGGAAUGCCUCUUGGGCGCACACUGGCUGGGACCUGGUCUUUGUUCUGUGCCAGGGGGUGACUGCUUCUGUUUACGGUACUUGCCGAGUGACGAAUCAUGACGAAUAGCACUUGCGCAGAAAACAAUGGAGAUGGAUUUCUGUAUAGUACCUUAAACCUCCGACCAUAAGCCCUAGGCUUAUAUACUUUCGUAAGCGAUUUUUGAUGGGUUUAUACAAGGCGGGGGGGUGGCUUAUAUACGGGGGGGGGGCUAAUACAUGGACGAUCUUUUGUGUUAGUGAUAAACAAGUCAGACAUAAACAAGUCAGUCACAAACAAGUCAGUCAUAAACAGGAAAAUAAACAUGUAGUAAUAACACGCUUUGAUUAACAUUGAAAAAGUCGUGCAAAAAAGACUAAUCUCAUUCAUUGAACGUCAUGAAAUCUUAUAUAAAUUUCAGUUUGGUUUCCGUAGUAAGCACUCUACUUCCCAUUCGCUC